GUUUGAUCAUGGCUCAGAUUGAACGCUGGCGGCAUGCCUUACACAUGCAAGUCGAACGGUAACAGGUCUUCGGAUGCUGACGAGUGGCGAACGGGUGAGUAAUACAUCGGAACGUGCCCGAUCGUGGGGGAUAACGAAGCGAAAGCUUUGCUAAUACCGCAUACGAUCUACGGAUGAAAGCAGGGGACCGCAAGGCCUUGCGCGAACGGAGCGGCCGAUGGCAGAUUAGGUAGUUGGUGGGAUAAAAGCUUACCAAGCCGACGAUCUGUAGCUGGUCUGAGAGGACGACCAGCCACACUGGGACUGAGACACGGCCCAGACUCCUACGGGAGGCAGCAGUGGGGAAUAUU
rnacentral:rRNA from 1 species